CGGUGGUUAUUGCGGCAGGGGUACGCCCGGUCCCUUUCCGAACCCGGAAGCUAAGCCUGUUUGCGCUGAUGGUACUGCACCUGUGAGGGUGUGGGAGAGUAAGUUGCUGCCGACC
rnacentral:rRNA from 1 species